UACGAAGGGGGCUAGCGUUGUUCGGAAUCACUGGGCGUAAAGGGCGCGUAGGCGGCCAUUCAAGUGACGGGUGAAAGCCCUCGGCUUAACCGAGGAACUGCCUGUCAGACUGGAUGGCUUGAGACCGGGAGAGGUGAGUGGAAUUCCCAGUGUAGCGGUGAAAUGCGUAGAUAUUGGGAGGAACACCAGUGGCGAAGGCGGCUCACUGGACCGGAACUGACGCUGAGGCGCGAAAGCGUGGGGAGCGAACAGG
rnacentral:rRNA from 1 species